rnacentral:rRNA from 1 species
AUUGAACGCUGGCGGCAUGCUUUACACAUGCAAGUCGAACGGCAGCGCGGGCUUCGGCCUGGCGGCGAGUGGCGAACGGGUGAGUAAUGCAUCGGAACGUGCCCAGUAGUGGGGGAUAGCCCGGCGAAAGCCGGAUUAAUACCGCAUACGACCUGAGGGUGAAAGCGGGGGACCGAAAGGCCUCGCGCUAUUGGAGCGGCCGAUGUCGGAUUAGCUAGUUGGUGGGGUAAAGGCUUACCAAGGCGACGAUCCGUAGCUGGUCUGAGAGGACGACCAGCCACACUGGGACUGAGACACGGCCCAGACUCCUACGGGAGGCAGCCGUGGGGAAUUUUGGACAAUGGGGGCAACCCUGAGCCAGCCAGGCCGCGUGCGAGAAGAAGGCCUUCGGGUUGUAAACCGCUUUUGUUCGGGAAGAAAUCCUCUGGGCUAAUACCCCGGGGGGAUGACGGUACCGGAAUAAUAAGCACCGGCUAACUACGUG